rnacentral:rRNA from 1 species
AUUGAACGCUGGCGGCAGGCUUAACACAUGCAAGUCGAGCGGGGUGAUGGUGCUUGCACUAUCACUUAGCGGCGGACGGGUGAGUAAUGCUUAGGAAUCUGCCUAUUAGUGGGGGACAACAUCUCGAAAGGGAUGCUGAUACCGCAUACGUCCUACGGGAGAAAGCAGGGGAUCACUUGUGACCUUGCGCUAAUAGAUGAGCCUAAGUCGGAUUAGCUAGUUGGUGGGGUAAAGGCCUACCAAGGCGACGAGCUGUAGCGGGUCUGAGAGGAUGAUCCGCCACACUGGGACUGAGACACGGCCCAGACUCCUACGGGAGGCAGCAGUGGGGAAUAUUGGACAAUGGGGGGAACCCUGAUCCAGCCAUGCCGCGUGUGUGAAGAAGGCCUUAUGGUUGUAAAGCACUUUAAGCGAGGAGGAGGCUCUUUUGGUUAAUACCCAAGAUGAGUGGACGUUACUCGCAGAAUAAGCACCGGCUAACUCUGUGCCAGCCGCCGCGGUAA